UGAGUUCAUUGCAUAAAUCAGCAUACAACCAGCUUACUGGUUGCUUAAAGUGCAGCCAUGAGGUUAAAAGGGAAUGGUUGAAAAGUGGCCUUAAAGUGUGGGAUUUCUACUUGCCACACGGUAAGAAACUCUUCCUGAUGACAGAAGGGUAUGAAGAUUUGUAAUAGCUUGAAUUUUAAGUGUCUUAUGUCUACGCUGGAUAGAAGAAGAAUUAAGAGACUUAUUGAUUCGAGGAAGAUUUAGACCAGUCACUGAGGAGGAACUAGCAGGAAGAGAUUUUCAAGGCAGGUCCUUGGGCUGUGUGUGGCAAUUGGGCACGUACCUGUUGGAAAUGCUUCAGGCAGAGAGCAACCUGUCUGUAGAGCCCCGGUACAGCAGGGUGCUGGCCUGAAACCAAUGUUCUGUGGGACUGGAGCCAGAAACAGGAUCAGGGUUGCAGGAAGAACCCUGAAAAGAAAGGCUCUUCUUUCAGAAAGUGGAGCUCCAUGAGCUGUCGGCAUCCCAGGGGCAGAGCAGAGGCAGAUUUUGGCUGUGAAGUUGACCCAGCCAAUGCCACGCAGGACAAGGUGGCAUUGAGAAGGUCCACAGCAGCAGCAUGUGUGCUGGAGGGGAACCACAAGCCGUGAAGGAUAGGGCAAAAGUGCCCGCUUCAUAAAUACACAUAAACAAACAAAACAGCUCACCAGCAGACAAAAUUCAGUGCUUCAGUGACCAUGGUUUCUCCUCUGCGAAGGCCCUCCUGUUGCCUUAGAAAAUUAUCAUCCCGUUUACUUAAUUAGGCUGACUCCAAGCUUUAGGCAUCGGCCUGCCAAGAUGAUGCACACAGCGUAUGACACCUGUCAGUUGACUUCAAUGACUGCUCACCACUUCUUCGUGUUCUGCACCUCCCACAAGUCAGCUCCACAGAUGUGUCAGGAACGCUUCCUGAUGACUGCAUUGUAACAAAUGUGCAGAGGUAUGAAGUUGCAGUCCAUCACUUCCACACUGUUGCUGUGGCCCUGUGAACUCCUCUGAAUGAAAAACUCUUCAGUAUCACUCAGAAAUAUGAGGUUUAGGUUCAUCAGCUCCUUGUUGGCUUGCGACUAAAGGCCACAAUCAGUGUGGAGAAUGUGGGGCCCUUCUGCUCCAGACAUAUUUUCCAUAGUAGUUCCAUAUUUUCCUCCAAUUUACAAAGCAUUUCCAAAGGUGGAGAGCAAGAAGUGCACUGCCUACCUCCUGCAUCACCCACAACAGACCUUCCCACAGCACCAAAGGGAGAGCAGGGAGGUUGUUGGCUUUAAAUGAAUUGCACUGCCAACCCAUAAGGUGCAUUUGGGUUCACCGUGUUUUCCCUGUAUUUAAGUUUUACUCAUCUGAAAUUAAGCUAAUUAUACGUUUUCUUUAAUUUUCUCCUGUAACUCCUCUUUAUUUGAACAGCACUCAUAAGAUGUUUGAUUAUGGUCCAAAGUUACAUCGACUUUCACCCCAACUCUGCUGUCCAUUCAGAAAAGAGGCAGAAGGAGAUGGGCUGGGUUAGUCUAGGGAGAGUUGGAUGGAGAAGAUAGUAAGAGGCUCCAUCAGUGCUCCCCAACUAAGUGACACUGAAGUGCCACAUGGAGGAAGUACUUUUUGGGGCGCUAUCAACAGCCUAAAACUGUACUGGUACAUCCUUUUCUCUGGGUUAACUCUGGUCUCUUCUGUGCCACAGUGUGAAAGGUCUGAAGUAUCUCAGCCACUGUGUUAUGCUGACAGCACCCUUACCAGAGGAAUGCUGUUCUGCUCUCCUGUGAAGGAAGAAGGGAAUAGGAGCUCUCAUAAGAGCAUUUCUUGUGCUUCAAGUUCUUUGUAAGAGAAAACAUAGCUAAUUUUAGUUUAAAUGGAUGUUAAUUUGACGUGUGGAUUUGAAUAACUGAGAUAAAUUCUUGGCUUUUUGGCAUUAUAAUAUAUUAAAUGACAAAUGCUUUUUGAAUACUGAAAGGUUCUUUCUCUCUCCUCUGUAAGGCGUAAGUCUCCUGGAUUUGCAGGAAGUUGUACAGAAUGGUCCAAUAGGUCAUCUUCAUCUCUGGCUUAUGUGGUAAUAAAGGAAUAAUAAAAACGAAGGUUGCAAAGCAUUCUUUCCAUGACUGAAUCAGCUGGCUUUUUUAUGGGCCAGUUAUUCACUGAGCAAUAAAUAUUCAUGGGCUUUUCAGCAAAGACAUGGUGCAUAAUUAGUCUUGAGCGC
rnacentral:lncRNA from 1 species